UCACACCGCACCCCAGGCAGCGCUCCCAGCUCCAGCCCCCAUGCCGCCUCCACCUCAGCCAUCGGCCAUCGCUCGGGCACCGCCAAGCCCCCCAGAGCCACAGCAGGCGGCUUUCCGGUUGACGCCUCAUGCUGUGCAGACACCACCGCAAACACCGGAGCCCAGAGGCGGUUUCUCCCCAGACGCAGACACUCCACUUCGGAAUGAAAGGCACUCCCGGCAGCAUCGACUUCCUGCAGAGAAAAUGGAGCCACCAGCUUCCCACGGUGAGGACGGAGUGAUGACCUCGGGAGGGUUGCGCACCACUGACUGGCCCCGUUCCUCCUGGUGCUAAGAACACAGCUGUGAGCCGGGCCGAGACUUUGAUACAGGGUGGUGACCGCUCUGACCCAGGCAGAGUGGAGGGAAGGGAGGCCCUAGUGACAGGAUGGUGGCUCUGGGGACAGUCCUGGAGGGAGAGGAGGGCCUUUUGUGGCCACACAGACCCGGGGAGACAUCUGUUUCCUAGAUGGUCCCGGGUGCCCUCGAGAACACAUGCCCGCCAUCAGAACGUGUCCCCACGCAGGACAAGCCUUGCGAGGGCCCUUCCAGGCCAUCGGUGUGUUACACGCUCCCGUCCUGGGUAAUGUGAUCAGUCAGCUGUGCUGACAGGUGGGCCUCCUUUCCCCAGGACCCCACAGCCAGAGACCUGGCGAGGAACAGGGAGGAACUGACAGAGGUCUCCCGAGUUGGUGUGUGGUUAUGUUUGAUCCUAAGUGAAAUCUUCCGUAUGACACCGCUGUUUCUUAGAGCCAAGGGAGGAGUUUAAAGCAAAGUGCCUGGGUUGGCUAGCAUGCUUUCUGAAGCACUAAGCAAAAAGGAGGAUGUCCACCUCUCUGGUUUUCUAUGGGACAGAGUGAGAUCCAGGGCUGCUGCAACGAACCCAGGCUUCCGUCUGUCACCUCGGUGCUUGCUGCUGUCCCAAGGAAGCCAGAAGGAGGGAGAAAAACACAUCCGGUGCAGAACCAGGUUACACAGAGCCUGGGUUAAUCAGCACGGCCCUUAAAACUUCUAUGAAAUUAUGUCCUUGACCCCAAACCGCUCAGGCAUCUCUGAAGUCUGUACUGUGUUAUGCUUGGGGACAAGCAUCUUUAGUGUGAACAGCCCGUUUUUCCCAGAAAGGCCUUCCCCCACACCUUUUGCUUGAAGCAUAUGAACAGCACGUCUCUAAGAAUCCAUCUACUAACCUCUUCUCCUUCUACCACCAGUGUCCAGGUAGGCACCAUUCAGGGUGUGGUCCACAGUGGUGGCACCAGCACUUUGGGAAGGUGGCCCCCACCCCCACACACCUGCUGCAUCACAGUCCUGGGGCCUGGAGCCCAGCCUCGGCUCAGGGACUGGGUGUUAACACGACCAACCCCUGUUGGCUGCCCCACAUCCUCUCCCGCUUCCAUUCCAACCUCAUCUCUUCUGCUUGUUCCAUACAGAAUGGUCUUUUCCAAACACGUGCCUAUAUCGUGGGAACCCCUCCACUCCCUGCCUUAAAACUGCUCAGGGAGUUGGCCUCACCCUACCAGCACUGGCCCCCCGAGUGGCGUGCCCCCCACCCCAAACACCUCUCCAUUUGUGCCCUUCCUCCCUCCAGGACCCCUGCCCCAAGACCUCUUUCCAGACCCUCACACCCUCCAAGCUUCCUCCUGCCCCAGGGCGUUUGUGCAGCUCAGCCCUGUCUGAAAGCCCCCAGUAUACUCCCCCGAUUGGCGACUACCUGUCCUCUAGAUUUCAGCCAGCAUUGACUCCCCAACCCGGAAGGCCAGGUAAGACAGCUGAUGUUCAGAGCAAGCUGAAUUCUGCCCCUGCAGAACACUCAUCCCAUUUUGUCAUGAUGCCUUCACGGGUGGGAAUCUUUGCUGAAUAUAAUCCUCCCUGCUGGCUGGAUGCUUCCUGUGGGCAGGGACCCUCAGCUUCAUUCACUGUUGUGCCCUCAGCUGAGUUCUGUGUCUGGCAUGGAGUAGUGACUCAAUAAUGAAUUUGUUCACAGUCUGUGCUCUGAGUGUCCUUCGAGGUCAAAUGGCUCUCUCUUGCUCAUUGGAGCUUUGGGUCUUUGUUUCCUUCCAGUGACACUAUAGUGACAGCAGCAAGCACUUAAUAGAAGCCGGGGCAUGCGCUGCCCUGAGCCCUGUGCAUCAUCAGUUACCUCCAAGUGGCAGGUCGUGUAGCCACCUGUCAGGUACCACCCUGACCUACUACUCUGCUGCUGAGAAGCCAAAGGGGACAAAGCUGGAACCCGCCUUCACUGUUGGUGGGAAUGUAAAUUGGUGACGCCACUAUGGAAAACAGUGUGGAGGUUCCUCAGUAAAUCUAAAAAUAGAGUUUCUAUAUGAUUCAGCAAUCCCACUCCUGGCAUCUAUCUAGAUGGAAAGAUAACAUGCACCCCGGUGUUCACGGAAGCACUGUUUACCAGAGCCAAGACAUGGAAGCAGCGUAAAUGGCCAUCAGCAAGUGAAAAAGAUAUGGUGCGUAUAUACAGUGGGAUAUCACUCAGCCAAGAAGGAAACAACGCCAUCUGCAGCCACAUGGACGGAUCUGGAGGUGAUCACACUAAGCGAAGUCAGACAGGGGCAAAUGUCGUAUGCUGGCACUGGUAUGUAGAGUCUAAAAUGGACACAACCGAGCCUGUCUAUGAAACAGACUCACAGAGAACAGACUUGGGUUGCCAAGGGGGAGAUGGGUGGGAGAGGCGGGGAGUGGGAGUUUGGGGUUAGCAGAUGCAAGCAAGUAUAUACAGAAUGGAUGAACAGCAAGGUCUUACUGUACAGCACAGGGAACUCAACAUCCUGUGAUAAACCAUUAUGGAAAAGAAUAUGAAAAAGAAUGUGUGUGUGUGUGUCUAUAACUGAAUCAGUCUGCGAUACAGCAGGAAUUAACGCAAUAUUGUAAAUCACCUGUACUUUAAAAACAGGAGGACAAGGCUGGACAUGAAGGUCCCCGGGGCUUGCUCCCAGGUACCCAGCAAAGCCCGCUCCAUUCUCUCUGGCCUCUGAAACCUGGCACACCAGGAUAGGCAUGUUUCCAUUGGGAAAUACUUCCCCUGUGUGAUACUGCAAAACAAGGUAUAUAAAGCUGCGCCGCAGGAACUCAAAACUGAACGUACUUAAGGAAACCAACCUGAGCCAUACAAAUUGUCUUUUACAGUACCCAGUGUAUAACCGGGCCUCCACCAAAAUUGAUGAUGGCUGAACAGCUUGAGGAAAUUGAUCAUAUUUAUGACUCUCAUAAAAUAACUGUAACAGUGUGAUUCUAGGUGUGGGAAUAGGCAGCAAGGAAGAACAUUUCCUGGAUGCUGAUAAGACAGAGGGUCCAGAGAACCUUUCAUCAUCAACAGGGCCUAAUCUGGAACUUUGCACCUGGAGUGGCAUGCCAGCAGAAACUUCUGCCUGAUCUGGGAUGAGCCUCCCUGUGCCCAGGGAUAAUAAUUGGUCAUGAAAUGUCUCCCGAUAUUGGUCAAAUUCUGGUUCAAGAGAAGGAUCUAAGAGAAUAUUUCCGGCCAUAUCAGUAAACAAGGAUGUCACAGUCAUCAGCGACUCCAGCCCUGCAACAUGAGCCUGAGACACUCAGGAAAGACAAGAAGACCUGCCAUCUAGCAGCCGGCCAUCAGCCACUCCCUGCGUGCUUCCAGGAAUGCCCCUCAGUGUUUAGAGCCACAGAACAAAACAGGAGGGAAAAAGAACACUGUUGCAGGACCAAAUCACUCAAGAAUCAAAAGGAGCAGACACAUGACAGGCUGCGGAAGCCCCCUAGCAUUCUGCCCCUAGAGACAACCACUUCUUUAGAAGUAAUUUGAAUAUUUUCUUAUGGUUACAAAAGCCACACACAUUAAAAGAUGCAGCAAAAUGAAAGUAGACGCUUCCCUGUCCAGCUUCCUUGGUGGGCACAGGGGCCGAGACCACAGCCACUGGUGCAGCUCACUACCUGGAAGGUUGCCAGCCCCCACCCUUGACCCUCUUGCUGUCUGACUCCAUGAACUGAAGAGGCAAAGGCUGACCUGCAGUCCUUUUGAAACACCAGUCAGGUCACAGGGCUCUGGCCUCCACCGCCCGUGGCCACGUGGGAUCCACCCCUCGUCUGCUGUUCCAGACUGUCUCCCCCUAAGGCCUGCACAUGCCUUCCCCUCGGGUGUCACCACGGCCCUCCUCCCCCCAGUGACAGCCCCCUGACCGUCCAGUGGACCGCAUGCUGCCACCUGCAGCGCACCCCUCCCUCCCAUCUCUGGACUGUGCCCUGUCUUGUCAUCGCACACAGCACAAAUCACCUUUAGACUUACGUGAUUUACCUGUGAUCUGAUCUUCCUCCAGACCCAAGGGCUGGCGUAACUGACUCCUGUGAUCACUGAUGUAUCCAUCAGCACUUGGCAUACAGUCGGGGUCAAUACAUGUUUGUUGAAAGAGAGACCAUGGACCCUAUCUUUGUAAACAGACCCUUUUCAGCCCAGCUUCGCCAGCCCUUCCUGCAUGUGUAUGGUUACGGGGGGUAGCCUCCUCUAAGGUGUGUUCACAUCACUCAAGCUCUGGGAAGCUGAAAGCUCAGAUAUGGACAGGAAAGCCCACAGGUGAGGGCUCUUGUCCCAGAGAAGAAGGCCUUCCCUGGGGCACUGUAACCAGAGGCCCUCAGAAACAAGCCCAGGCAUUUGGGAGGCAUUCAUCCUUGUGGAGCUGAAGGACACACAAAACAGCUUCUAGGCCGCCUUCCCUGAGCUUUGGACUAGGUCAGGAUCCUCGUUACUCACAAGGCACACUGUACUUCAAAACAAUUCAGCAAAGAAUUAACUAUGACUUUGCCAUAUCCUGUUUCUCCAUUAGACAAUAAGCUUCAGAAAUCCAGGACUUGGCACAUAGUAGGUAUUUUGAGGGACAGCUGACGCACUUGCCCAUGCAGUGCCCUGCUUUGCUCUGGCUGGGGGGCAUGCUUACUGUGUUUCUGAUCCUUCAGGAGACAUUCAGUGCCCCUCUCCUCCCAGAGUCACCAAACAAAUUGAGACACUAAUGCCAAACAGAAAGUGUCUUGGUGAAGACACCCCUUUAUCCAUGGAAUCAGUGUGGUGUGCUAGGAGUGACUUAGGACCUAAAGGAAAGACCUAAACUUUGUUACUUGCAGCUAACAGCAUUCAUAACCUGCCUAACCAGAGCUGUUAUAUCAGAAUUACCACCCUUAACACGAAGCCUGAAGGUGAAUCCAGGAGGAUGAAAUAAUUCAACGAUGCCAUCGAAAGCCCAGGCUAUAGGAGCCCCUCUGCUUUAUCACCCUUAUCACUUGACGGUCACAAGAGGGCUGCUGCUGUUCAAGGCAUUACCUCCAGCUUCUGGGAAGAGGAAAAGGGAAGUAGAAGAGCCAAUACUAUCCCCUUCCUUUUAUCAAGAGACAUACCCUCUCUAGAAACCUCCACCAUCACCCAGAAGACUUCUACUUACAUCUCAAAGGCCAGAAUAUCAGCUGGCCCCCCUACCCACCCUAGAAAGAUGAGAAUUCAGAUAAAGAGUGGGAAAGCUGAGACAGCAAGGGGGAAGUGAGUCAGUAAUAGCUAUAGAGUUAGCCAGCCAGAAGUAUCUGUCAAAACUAUGUAAAUUAUUUUAAUAGAACUGUUUCUGUGGGUUUUCUUAUAAUAAAAGCAAUGAAUAUAUAUUACUUUAGAAAAUAAAGAUUUUAAAACAUCUCUCCAAUCCCAUCAUACGGAAGUAAUCACUGUGUAUUCCAUUAUUGUUAACCUUUGUUGUUAUCCUUUCAGAUCUUUAUUUUAAUGAAUGAAAUCAUACUAUGUGUUGCU
ensembl:lncRNA